GUGCUCGCUUUGGCAGCACAUAUACUAAAAUUGGAACGAUACAGAGAAGAUUAGCACGGCCCCUGCGCAAGGAUGACACGAAGAAAAAAAAAACUGGAUAUUCACAU